CCUACGGGAGGCAGCAGUGGGGAAUUUUGGACAAUGGGCGAAAGCCUGAUCCAGCAAUGCCGCGUGAGUGAAGAAGGCCUUCGGGUUGUAAAGCUCUUUUGUCAGGGAAGAAACGGUGCGGGCUAAUAUCCUGCACUAAUGACGGUACCUGAAGAAUAAGCACCGGCUAACUACGUGCCAGCAGCCGCGGUAAUACGUAGGGUGCAAGCGUUAAUCGGAAUUACUGGGCGUAAAGCGUGCGCAGGCGGUUUUGUAAGUCUGUCGUGAAAUCCCCGGGCUCAACCUGGGAAUUGCGAUGGAGACUGCAAGGCUAGAAUCUGGCAGAGGGGGGUAGAAUUCCACGUGUAGCAGUGAAAUGCGUAGAGAUGUGGAGGAACACCGAUGGCGAAGGCAGCCCCCUGGGUCAAGAUUGACGCUCAUGCACGAAAGCGUGGGGAGCAAACAGGAUUAGAUACCCUGGUAGUCCACGCCCUAAACGAUGUCUACUAGUUGUCGGGUUUUAAUUAACUUGGUAACGCAGCUAACGCGUGAAGUAGACCGCCUGGGGAGUACGGUCGCAAGNUUAAAACGUCAAAUGAAUUGACGG
rnacentral:rRNA from 1 species